rnacentral:rRNA from 1 species
UACGAGUACCCCGAGCGUUAUCCGGAUUUAUUGGGCGUAAAGCGUGCGUAGGCGGUUUAUAACAUCUCCUGUUAAAUCCCAAGGCUCAACCUUGGGGCCGCAGGAGAUAUGGAUAAACUAGAGGCCGGAAGAGGCAAGCGGAAUUGCUGGUGUAGGGGUUAAAUCCGUUAAUAUCAGCAGGAACACCAAAAGCGAAGGCAGCUUGCUAGAACGGUUCUGACGCUCAGGCACGAAAGCGUGGGGAGCGAAUGGG